GACGAACGCUGGCGGCGUGCUUAACACAUGCAAGUCGAACGGAAAGGCCCUGCUUUUGUGGGGUGCUCGAGUGGCGAACGGGUGAGUAACACGUGAGUAACCUGCCCUUGACUUUGGGAUAACUUCAGGAAACUGGGGCUAAUACCGGAUAGGAGCUCCUGCUGCAUGGUGGGGGUUGGAAAGUUUCGGCGGGUGGGGAUGAACUCGCGGCUUAUCAGCUUGUUGGUGGGGUAGUGGCUUACCAAGGCUUUGACGGGUAGCCGGCCUGAGAGGGUGACCGGCCACAUUGGGACUGAGAUACGGCCCAGACUCCUACGGGAGGCAGCAGUGGGGAAUAUUGCACAAUGGGCGGAAGCCUGAUGCAGCAACGCCGCGUGCGGGAUGACGGCCUUCGGGUUGUAAACCGCUUUCGCCUGUGACGAAGCGUGAGUGACGGUAAUGGGUAAAGAAGCACCGGCUAACUACGUG
rnacentral:rRNA from 1 species